rnacentral:lncRNA from 1 species
GGAGCUUUUGGUUCAUUGAUACAUUCUCUAAAUUGGACUAUUUGAAACUUUUACACCAAAAGCAUUUUCUAUACAUUAAACCUUACUUCUCACAUGAAUAUCAAUUUGCUUAUACUCAAUGUUUUGUAAUCAUCAAAAAGGGAGAGAUUGAGGAUCCUAGUGUUAUUUUGAUGCUUACAAAGCCAUUGAGGCCAUAUGAAAAUGCUAAUGCUAUUAACUCAAUUAAUC